GUGGAUGCCCUGGCAGUCAGAGGCGAUGAAGGACGUGCUAAUCUGCGAAAAGCGUCGGUAAGGUGAUAUGAACCGUUAUAACCGGCGAUGUCCGAAUGGGGAAACCCAGUGCAAUUCGUUGCACUAUCGUUAACUGAAUACAUAGGUUAACGAGGCGAACCGGGGGAACUGAAACAUCUAAGUACCCCGAGGAAAAGAAAUCAACCGAGAUUCCCCCAGUAGCGGCGAGCGA
rnacentral:rRNA from 1 species